rnacentral:lncRNA from 1 species
GGUGGGUGUGUUUGUGCUUCCGAUGACAGGCGGAAGUUUCCGCGGCCGCGUUUCUGCUUUUGGUGGUUCCAUCCAGCUGGGGAACGGGGACCUGACUCUUCUGUGCGAGGAGAGCUGUUUUUCCAACAUGACACAUUCAGACUACAAAAACAGACUUAAUGACAAUGCUAAAGUCAUGACUGACCAGAAAGAAAUGGAUCUCUCUGCAGCACAUCAUCUAUGAAUGGAGUGGAGAGCAUUUGCCAGGACAGAGGCAAAACUUGGUAAGGACAACUGUGUAAAAUUUCAGUACCUUAAAAAAGGGUGCAGA